CACCCAGGACGGUGGAUCACUCGGCUCGUGGGUCGAUGAAGAACGCAGCAAAUUGCGCGCCGACAUGUGAACUGCAGGACACAUGAACAUCGACGUUUCGAACGCACAUUGCGGUCCAUGGAUUCCGUUCCCGGGCCACGUCUGGCUGAGGGUCGGCU
rnacentral:rRNA from 1 species